GUGCUUAACACAUGCAAGUCGAACGGAAAGGCCCUUCGGGGUACUCGAGUGGCGAACGGGUGAGUAACACGUGGGUGAUCUGCCCUGCACUUUGGGAUAAGCCUGGGAAACUGGGUCUAAUACCGGAUAGGACUACGGCCUGCAUGGGUUGUGGUGGAAAGCUUUUGCGGUGUGGGAUGGGCCCGCGGCCUAUCAGCUUGUUGGUGGGGUGAUGGCCUACCAAGGCGACGACGGGUAGCCGGCCUGAGAGGGUGACCGGCCACACUGGGACUGAGAUACGGCCCAGACUCCUACGGGAGGCAGCAGUGGGGAAUAUUGCACAAUGGGCGCAAGCCUGAUGCAGCGACGCCGCGUGGGGGAUGACGGCCUUCGGGUUGUAAACCUCUUUCAGUAGGGACGAAGCGUAAGUGACGGUACCUAUAGAAGAAGCACCGGCCAACUACGUGCCAGCAGCCGCGGUAAUACGUAGGGUGCGAGCGUUGUCCGGAAUUACUGGGCGUAAAGAGCUCGUAGGUGGUU
rnacentral:rRNA from 1 species